AUUGAACGCUGGCGGCAGGCCUAACACAUGCAAGUCGAACGAGUGGCGGACGGGUGAGUAAUGUCUGGGAAACUGCCCGAUGGUGGGGGAUAACUACUGGAAACGGUAGCUAAUACCGCAUACCAUCGGAUGUGCCCAGAUGGGAUUAGCUAGUAGGUGGGGUAAAGGCUCACCUAGGCGACGAACCCUAGCGGGUCUGAGGGGAUGAACAGCCACACUGGAACUGAGCGACGGGCCAGACGCCUACGGGAGGCAGCAGUGGGGAAGAUUGCGCAAUGGGCGCAAGCCUGAUGCAGCCAUGCCGCGUGUAUGAAGAAGGCCUUCGGGUUGUAAAGUACUUUCAGCGGGUAGGCGUUACCCGCAGAAGAAGCACCGGCUAACUCCGUGCCAGCCGCCGCGGUAAUAC
rnacentral:rRNA from 1 species